UCUCUGUGACAGAAGGUGGAAGCAAGGAGCCAUGACGUGUGGCCAACUGUUGGGAUGAAACACGUCUGGGAUCUGCACGCUGCUCCCUGGCCAUGCUGUCCCCCCUCAGCUACGUGUGAGAGAAGGCUGAGAUUUCAACAACAGCUGUGUUUCCCUGCGGAGCCUGCAAUACAGAUCUCACUUCAGCCCCUACUUCCUGUGACAAGGAUUUAGUGAGCAGUGUAUGGGUGCUGGCAUGGACCUGGGCUCCCCAGAGCGGCUGAGCCCUCAACUGUAGCAAUGUAACAAAAACAACCCUGAAGACUUGGCUAACUCAAGCCUGGCAACCUCGGAAUUGGUAGGAAGACACUUUUCACACGAGCCUGAGUGGGAUGUUCCACUUCUCACUAGAAUGCCACACAUCAGCGACAAGCACGGAGCCCUGGCACCGCCCACCCUCUAGCUGGGGCUCACAGACCAUUAGGGGAGCGAGGAAGCUGCGCUCUGGGAGACUGCUCCAUCGCGGGCCAGAGGACAGGCCAGAGAGCCCCUGGUCCCUGGGAGAGAAACAACCAGAGCCGGAGAGACCUGGGAAGAGUGGAUCAGCUAAUCAGCAACCACAGUGUCCUGGGGAGGGGUCAGGUAACGAAGCCCUCUGAAGGUAAUUAACAAGGAGCCCCAAGACGCCCCCAGAGAAAGUCAGAGCCUCUGCUGAGGGAGCUCCAGACUGCUCAGCACCGCCAGGGCCUGCAGGCAGGCAGUGGCACGGUGACUCGGGCUCCCAAAGCCCAGGGGGACCUGGAGUAAAGAGCAGGAGGAGCACCACCAGCUCAGGCCAGGCCCCAAGGAGGGGCAGCCAGCAAGUCAGUUCUCAGAGAAGGCAGGAGGGCGCAGGAGGCUCCUGAGAGAGAGACCAGGGUCACCACGCAGAGUAAUUUCCCCAGCCUCCCUCAAACACGCCUAAGCUCAUCUAAGCUCGUCUAGGAUCAGCAAUUUUUAUCCUUAGAAAGCAUCUCAAACGGCUUUGGGGACGCUUCCGGACAGGUGCCCUGCUCCUGUUCUAAUCAGAUCACGGGCAGCCCGCCAGUGUCCCAAGCCCAGAGCAGCCUCUGGGUCCUCCUCCUGUGCUCCCGGAGACAGCAGGAGCCCUGUCCUCCGACACUCCGGUUGGCGGAUGGGGAUGGAGCGCCCCCAUCCCUGGCUCCAGGCUGUGUCUCCCAGCCGUGUCGGUUCCUUGGGGCCUGUGCCUCCGUGUGUCCCGGAGGAGGACCAUGUGCAGGCCCAGAAGUGUUGAAUAUCAGAAAUAGCUUCUUAAAACACUGCAACCUUUAUUUCUGCUUAUUUCUCUCCAUUUCCACCUCCUCUUUUAUUCAGGAAUUUUUAGGUUCAAAAUAACUUUAGUAAUGGUUGGGGCAUUUAUGAUAGAUGUAAUAAGACUUGGAAAGUGCUUUUUAAAAUACCAUAUUCCCUGUAUUUCAAUAUAUAUAUAUAUGUAAAUGUCUCCAGAAAGAGCUAACCCUCACUUAAACUGUCAUCACCAAAUUAAUGGACAAUCAUAAUCCAAAAGUAAUUAUAAUCCUCAGUAAUUAUAAUGACCCCAUUAAGUUCUUCACAUCUCAAGAUUUGUUCUACAUGAGAAUAAUUGUAGCUCAAUUAUACUUCACCAACGCAGGUCAUCACAUAUUUGCUCUCUGAAACUCAUGCUCAGUCACACCACAGGGUUUAUUUUUGAGGGUGAAAGGGUAUGAACAUUCUUCAUCAGUGCAUAUUAAUUUACAAGAUACUGGGUUUCAAUGUAGUAUUUUCCUCCUGUUCACCCCAUUAUCCUCCCUGACUUCCUCUUCCCUUCUACCCCUUCUUCCCUUCCUCUUGUCUAGUAAUAGUCUCCCUUCCAUUUUCCACAUUCUUGUUAUUUUUCUUGAGUUCUACACAUUCAGAAAAACAUGCAAUACUUGUCUUUCUGAAUCUGGCUCAUUUCAUGUAAUAGGAUAGUCUCUAGUUUCAUCCAUUUUCCUGCAAAUGACACAAUUUUACUCUUGUGUAUGCUAGAAUUCCGUUGUGUGUACGCAUACCGUAUGUCCUUUAUGCAUUCAUCUGUGGUUGGGCGCCUGGGCUGGUGGCGUCCUGGUUAUCAUGAAUUAUGCCAGAAAAAGUGCGGGCAUGCCACUGUCCCCAUAGGAUGCUGGCUUUCAUUCCCUGGGGCACAUGCCAAGGAAUGGGAUGGCUGGGUCUUGUGGCAGUUCUGUUUCCAGUUGUCUGUGGACCCUCCCUACUGAUUUUCCCAGGAACGGUCCUAAUUUACAUCCCCCCAGCAGUGUAGAAGGGUCUCUUUCCCACUGGCAUCCAUGUCAGGAUCCCUUGUUUUCUGUCUUCCUUUUUUUUUUUGGUACCGGGGAUCGAACUCGGGACCUUGUGCUUUCGAGGCAGGUGUCAGAACCACUGAGCUACACCCCGGGCCCGUUUUCUGUGUUCUUGAUGACAGCCACUCUGACUGGGGUGAAGAGGAAUCUUGAUGUAGUUUUGAUUUGGAUGUGUAUUUUCCUGAUAGCUGAAGAUGUUGAACACUUUUUCAUAUACUUAUUGGCCAUUUGUACUUCUUCAAGAAGUGGCAUUCAAUUCAUUUGCACAUUUACUGGUUGUUGGGCUAUUUUUUUCACACCAAACGUACUAAACAGACAUUUGAUUUUCUAAUCCUGGUUGUGUUUCUUUCUUCACCUUUAAAAAAAUAUGAUGUAGAAAAUAUUCAGGCAUGAGAAGGAAGUAUAAACUGCUCUUGAAAUGUUCAUAAAGAAAAGAUAACUCAAUUAUGUUUUGGGUAAUGGAAAAACAGAGCCUUAGGCAAAAAAUUGUAAACUAGUUGACAUUCCUUCGCUAGCUAAAAUAAGUGAAGCUUGAAUCUUUGACUCCAUCAAUUUGAAAAUAGCCUAAGGUGAGCAGAUAUUUUGGUUGGCUUAGUGUGGAUUUAAAGAAGAGACUCACAAAUUUUGUUCCCUAAUGAAUGCAGCUGGGGUGCGCUAUGCAGUUUAAAGACUCUGAGUGUAGAAUAUACUUGUCUCUAACAGAUUGGGUUAACUUAGUCUCUGCAGUCAGUUUCUAAUAAGGCUUCAUAGACACUAUCAACAGAAUCGUCCUGAGCACACCGGCACAGUAUGAAAAUGGUGUGCGUGCACAUAAACCCAAGGCAGAAAUGGGCUGAAGUAUCGCUGUGCUAUGGAUGAGGUCCAGAAAAACCCAAACAAAAAACACCACCAGCACAUGGGCGUAGCCCAGCGUUUGUCCCACAUGGAGCCCAGGAGCAGAGAGCCCCAUCCCGGAAGGGUUAUGUAUUGUGAGACUCUGAGCUGUUUGCCAGCACUGAUUUUUCUAGAGGCAGGCUGACACAAAUCACUCGGGUCAGAGGACUGCACCCCAGGCCUUCGGGGAAGGGGAAGACCUGAUGUGGACCAAGGGUGGGUGAACAUCACGAACCUGCUGCAGUCAGGCAGCAGGAGGAGGAGGACAAGGAGGAAGUGGACCGGCUGAACACAGCGCUUGGACCCCCGCAGAGGACAAGAAGAGAGGCUCCUCUGAAGCUGAGCCUGGCCGCUCCCAGUCCCAGCAGUCUCUUUAGGAUUUGGCCGGAGGUGGUGCUUUUCCUAAGUAGCACAUCUGUGUCACUCAGCACCGUCAGUAGGAUCGUGGGAUGCACAGUGGCACUGGAGCAGCUGCAGGGACAUGAGGAGGUGAGAAGGAGAAGACAGAGGGGGACAGCAGAAGACAGAGACAGGGAGCUUCAUACCCCCUGAGGAAGGGUGCAGAGGCCUGGACUGCAGCACCCAGUGGGUAACUGAGCCUCAGCAGUGAGACCGCCCAUUCCAGCUGUCCUCACCCGCUUCUCCUCACUGCAGAGGCAAGGGACGCUUCCUUCUGCUCUCUGUGAUGGCUUUUUUCAUCUUCUCAUUCACUUGUCCAUUCCUUUGUCAUUUACCAAACACAAACAUCAUCAGCCUCUCAAAAGCACAGUCAUCUUCUGUAGGGUGUUUCCUGCCACCCUCUCCACCCAGAGUCUACUUCUGUGGGGAGAGGCAGCUAAGUGCAUGUGUGUGAGAGCACCAAGGACAAGACUCACGACCUCUUCAGAGGGUAUCAGAAGGCUUCCGAGAGCCAAGCUUGGAAAGGUCUUGAGGGCUGAGUAGGAAGGAGUGUGCCAGUGGAUGAAGGGGCAGAAAGAGGACAUUCCAAGUGCAAAGAAGAACAUCUCCAAAGACAGUGGGUAGGAAAGUCCCGAGAGAUGGUGGUGCUGGUGCUAGUGACAGGGUGGCUUGAGGGUUGUUGCAAGGAACCUUCUGUCAAAGAGGCAGGUUUUUGUCAGAAGGGUGAGGAGAUGGGUAGUUAGGCGGAGAAGCAGAGGGAGAGACAGAGGGGUCUGGAAGAUCACAGAAAUGCUGAGCAGAGCGUGGGACACCCCACAGGCUGUGGGAGGACAUCCAGUGACUGCAUGUUGUGCAGCCAGAGUGAAGCCCACGGGCCACUCUAGUCCUUCAGACAAAAGGGCUGGGCUGGAAACGCUACGGGAAGCAGAAGUGUCAGACAUCGCUGUCCUGCUGGGCCACCCGAGGUGUCUUCGUCCUCCAGAUGAUUCAGCCACUGACUUGAUCCCUGAUAAAUCAGCGGAGAACUGAGCAGACCCAGCAGCCUGGUCACUGCCCAGACCUGGCAACUGUCCUCUGCCCUCAGGUGUCCUGUUUCUGUCAUAGCCAGACUUCCUGGAGGAGCAGACUCCAGCACUGGAAAUGGCUGUGCUGUUUCCUCAGUCCGGCGUCCCAGGAACCAGACUGCAGCCCGAUGCCAAGUCUCCUGCGUCCUGGGUCAGGAGGGCCUCCACAGGGCAGGGUGCGGGGCGAGGGCCAGGCUGUAGUGGUCUAAUUCAUGUCUCACACACUCUCUCCUCUGGUCCUGACCUGCUGUGGACUAGUAGUGGUGGCUGGUCCAACACCUCUGCUGCUCCUGGCUGCUCCCCGGCUGCCUGCCCAGUGCCCCUCAGAGGGGUGGCGUGGGAGCUGCUGCUCACUUUGCAGGCCCUGCAUCUGGGCAGGCAGAUGGGCAAACUAAGGCAGAGCUCUGAAUUUUUCACAGGACGGGUGAGCCUGGGUCCCAAGCACUCAGGAGUCAGGGUUGAUCUAUGGUGUCAGUGAGCAGGUAAAACAUGUGCUCCUUACUUACUCACCAGCCUUUACUGAGCCCCGGGAUAGGCUCAGUUUUCUACUAAGGGCUUGAAGUCAGAGAUGAAUAAACUGCGGCUUAUGAUUUCAGGAAUGUUACAUUCAUGCCCCAAUCCAUGGAGUCCAGAUGGGGAAUGUCAGAAUAACGGAGGGCUUGCAGUUAGGAACUGGGCACAUGGCGCGGGCAAAGGGAGCACUGUGGUGCUGUGGGAGCAGGAGCAGGGUCAGCGGAGGGGUCAGGACUGCAAGGGGCCGCUGCAGGCUCUCAGAGCUGGAGAGCCACCCUCACGGCCUCCCCAGGUAGAGGCACCCACAGGCGAGGCCGCCAGCACCAGUCUGGGCGUUCUGUCUCAGUGACAGCAGUCUGGCAGCGAGGCAGCGAAGACUGUACUCAGGACGGAGACAGGAGGGCAGGUGCCUCCCCUGUGCCCUGCGAUGACUCAGGAAGACAGGCCAGCUGAGGGCCAGGCAGCACUGACAUCUCAGGGAUGUGUGCCAUGUGGCUCUGCGGGACAGAGGGUGGAAGAGGAAGGUCCCCAGGUCCCACUCUCCAGAACACCACGUCAAUUCCCAUGACAUUCUUGGACCAUACUCCUCCCAUACCAAAACUGUAUGUACUGUCAGGAAAAAAAUGGAUGAAAACAUAAAACAAUCUUAAAAAGCGGGCUGGGGAGUUAGCUCAGUGGCACUGCCCCUGCCUCGCAAGUGCAAAGUCCUGAGUUUGAUUGGUGGUACUGGAAAGAAAAUGAUAGAAAAAUACCUCAAAGGUAACAUGAGGGUUAAUCGUGAUUGUCAACCAGAUCAGCAUGAGGGUAAAGCACUCUCCUGGGUGGGCUGUGGGCAUGUGACCUUGGGGACCAUCUUGUCCCUGUCCCUUCCUCUCUGGCUCUUCCCCUGCUCCCGGCUUCUUGGCUGCCCUGAGCUGAGUGCUUCCCUCUGCCAUCCCUUCCACCGUGCUGUCCCCACCUUGGAGCCAGCUUGAAAGAACCUUCCCUCCUGUACUUUGCAUGUGUCAGUAUUUUCAUCAAGGAACAAUAGGCUGAGGGACGUGAGUAACUCCGAGUAACUCCUGGGAAGACACUCGUCUAGUUCGGGAACACUUCCUCACACUGAGAAGGCGAAGUCCUAGACUACCACACCGAGAAAUACCCGAGCCACAAGUUACUAACCCUGUAGCCAUGUGGAACCCAGACUGGUUUCCCUGACUCUCUUACACCCUUUCUUUAAAUUCCUGAUACCCUUUGCACAACUUUCUCUUGCUUCUGAUUUUUACUAUAAAAUAUAAAUAAAAGUACCCAAAGGAGAGUCUGGAUAGUUGUUUCCCAGUGGAUUGCUUAUCCAGUGUUCUUUUCAUACUUUUGGCAGUCAGGGGGAGUUGUAUUAGAUAUAUUUAAGGAAACUUUCCUUUAGAAAUAUUCAAAGAAUGUUCCUUGCAUAUAAGUAGGGU